GGUUCCAUAGUCUAGUGGUCAUCAUGUCUGCUUUACAUGCAGAAAAUCCUGGGUUCGACCACCAGAGGAACCG